rnacentral:rRNA from 1 species
GACGAACGCUGGCGGCGUGCUUAACACAUGCAAGUCGAACGGUAAGGCCCUUCGGGGUACACGAGUGGCGAACGGGUGAGUAACACGUGGGUGAUCUGCCCUGCACUUCAGGAUAAGCCUGGGAAACUGGGUCUAAUACCGGAUAGGACCACUGCCUGCAUGGGUGGUGGUGGAAAGCUUUUGCGGUGUGGGAUGGGCCCGCGGCCUAUCAGCUUGUUGGUGGGGUGAUGGCCUACCAAGGCAACGACGGGUAGCCGGCCUGAGAGGGUGACCGGCCACACUGGGACUGAGAUACGGCCCAGACUCCUACGGGAGGCAGCAGUGGGGAAUAUUGCACAAUGGGCGCAAGCCUGAUGCAGCGACGCCGCGUGAGGGAUGACGGCCUUCAGGUUGUAAACCUCUUUCAGCACCGACGAAGCGCAAGUGACGGUAGGUGCAGAAGAAGGACCGGCCAACUACGUGCCAGCCGCCGCCGUAA